rnacentral:tRNA from 1 species
UAGGUUUUAUUUCAAAAGAAUAUCUAGUUGUUGCCUAGAAGGUGUGGGCUAUUUCCACAAGCUUAA